GUCCUUGUAGCUUAUCUAAAGCAUGACGCUGAAGACGUCAAGAUGG
rnacentral:tRNA from 2 species